UCACCCCACCCCUCCCCACUGGUCCCUCUCCUCUGUCUCUGUCUAACCCUCCCCCCUUCCUCUCCCUGCCUCCCCGUCCCUCUCAGCAUCGGGCUGUAGCCUCGCUGUCUCUCUCUCUCUUUCUCUCCUAACACACCCUCUCUGUCCUAGGGCUUGCCACAUCCCACUGUCGGUGUGAAUGUAUGGUCUGGUCCUAGUUAACUGUGGGAGACAGGUGGGAGACGGACGUUUGGGUUCCCUGUGAUCUGAGACAGAUUUGUUAAGAAGCUUCCCGAAAGUCAACUUUUUCCGAGGAGAUUGUGCCAAUGGGGGGGGGCCUUUUUCGGGAGGGGUUGCAUUGAAUUUUAGUUUCCGCCCAAUAGUAGUUUAUGAUUUCUCGAUUUAACAAAGUGUAAUCUUAAUACCUCAAAUCCUAGGAUUUUCUCAUCUUAAAUCCUUGGAUUUGGAGGGGUUUAACAGUCCUGGGAUUUGGCAAACCCUGUUGAUAGAUUAGCCGUUUUCUCCUGCAGUACUUCUCUCUGUAUCCUCAAGCAGCUGCAAACUCUCUGGCUGGCCUGGUCCGUCUCAAACCAACGACUUGUAGCAACACUCUAGCCUGUCACUUCACUACUACCAGCACCGUUUAGACAGACGCACAUGAAGGUUUCCAUGAUUAGCCCUUCUUAUCGCAUUCUAGAACAAAUAAAUUCAACUUUGCAUAACCACGUCAGUUGUCAGGAAAACGGAUGCUGGUGAAAUACAGCUGGACAACUCUGCGCUGUUGUGUUUGUUUAUUUUUUAUAAACGUUGUGUCACCACUAUUUCUGCUGCACCAAAAACGUAUUUUAUUGAUUGAAUUAAUGGUGUUAGUGGUGUAACACCCUUCAGUCGACUGUGUGUGUGUGAAGGCUGCGGGGGUGUGUGUUAGUACGUCCUUCAUGCCGAUCGCUGGGCCAGUCACCUCCUCUGUGAGGAGGUCUGUGUGAGUUUGGACUGGAGAGGGCUACAGGAUCUGUAUCGCCACUCCGCAAUUAAUACAAUUAACUAAAUAACCAAGCCUGAAAAUCAGUGGUAGAUUCAAACAUACAUGCGUACUGUAGAUGAGAAAAUACGAUCAAAGAUAUCCAGUGUUUUGUUUGAUUUAUUUCCGGUUUAGUCGAUAAAUAAUACUUUUUCGAGCACAAAAUAUCCAUAGUUUGAGCAAAAGCCUGCGCUGGAGGGAACAGUGAAGGGUCUCCCUAUUUGGCACUAUUCACAACAGUAAACACCUGAGCUGAAACAGCGCUAAGGUAGUGUGAGGUGCUUGACCUUGCGCCCUCCCGAGGGACUAGCCGGUAUGCCGCGUCCCCUCCCCCAGCUGAAGCAGCAGGAAGCCCCUGUGACAAGGCUCCUUAUGUAAAGCCCAGACUCGGCCCUGGAGCCAGUUUUGAUACCAAGACUGCCGUGGAGGGCCGGUAGGAGACACCGGCCACACCGAGCCCAGAUGAACACAGUGUUAUUGUACUGAUCUGUUUUCCUCAGUACCACCAUGCUAAACGUCACAUUGUAUAGAGAGGUCUGAUCACAUGCCAGGGUGACCAGUACCGAUGCAGUAUAUUCCCAAACCGACAGGAUUCACUGAUUUACUGUACUCGUGAACCGGUCCUUUUGGAAAUAUUUGGAGUAAAAUGUAUUUGUCAUUUGCAUAUUUGCUCAAAUGUUUGUGACGAUAUUUUCCUUCGGUCAAGAGAAGUGAUCAGUUUGCAGACACAUUUGUUUUUUCUGUCUUUUUCAUUUGCCUUUUAACAGCUGAAAUUGCCAUGGUAGAUAGAGUUGUCUUGCUAUCUCAACAGGCUGGCCAGUUAUAUGAACAGUGGAGUUAGAUUUAACAAGUUUAAAUAGCUUCUCAUUUGGAUUCAUUUCUAAUAGAUGUCUGCUUUCCAGCGAGAAUCUGUCUGUUUCCUGACAUAUCUCCUCAACUCUAUAUUGUGGCCGAACUUCAACUGAGAGAUAAUAAUACAUUUCGCCAGAGAGGUUUUCUAGUUGCAUUAUUCACAAACCUAUGUUCCCCCUCAUCUCUGUCCUACAGUAAUGGGCUGUUUGGAUUAUCUGUUGCAAUCACUAUCUGUUAAGUGGUUUAAUAAUGUUUACGUUUCGUGAAGUUCAAUGACCACAAAAUUUCACUUCUAUGAGAUUAUCCUUGCAAACACAUGUUUGGUGUUGUACAGUGGUAAGUUAGUUGGAGAAAACAAGCCGCCUUUCGCUUUUAUCCACAAGUUAUUUGCACCACGUCGUUCUGUGAGUGUGAUGUUGUUAUGAACCACUAGGAGGCACUAUAAACCAAUAAUCCAGCAGCUCAUGAACUGGGCUCCUUGGUCAGAUUUACCUUUGCACCGGACCUGAGUUGUGUUGAACCACUCUUUGUAAAUGCUCACCCGUUUGAGGUAAAUGCUGAGCUGCAGUAACAUAUCACAUAUAGCAACAAUAGGAAGUACGCAAGUACUGAGGAAGACACAUGGAAGCCGUGGUGGUAGAUGCCUAAUCAGUUAUCACUGCCUCAAACUUACAGCUGUGCCUCGAUAUCAACAUUAUCAACUCACAAUGUGUGUUCACAUAGAGCUGGUGAAACUGUAGUAGUAUUUAUUUUUACUAUGAACGUUUUACUGCUCGUUCUAAAGCAACCCCUCCUUCAGGACAAUCCAUUUACUCACUUAUUCAGGGUAGACAUCUGAUCAUUGUCGCCCAUAAACCUCCACGGAGACUUACUGGCAUCCUAUCGAUCUCAGGUUAUUAUCACUCCCCCUUAAUGAGACGUAUAAUAUUACUGCAGUCUUACAAAAGCCAUAGUGCUCAACCAGAGACAAACAUUAAGGACUGUUGGUUUGAUGUUGCCAAAAAUACCACCUGGAAAAGAUGAUGUGCUAAACCUGUAUCUGUCUGCAGUUCAGCCCUUUAUCCAACUACCCAGUGAAUGUGCAACUAUUUUAAGUUAUUCGUAGGUUGAGUGAGUCUGGUUGUAUGCCUGUGACCGAUCAAAAUAUACAAUGCUGUUUAUCCAGAGACAUAGUAAAUGUACAGUGUUUGUCUGGUUCAACCUUUUUGUAUUUGUUCAUUGGUAAGUCAAUAAAUGAACUGACUCCA